rnacentral:lncRNA from 1 species
UUUAGGUGGGUCGUAGUCAAUUUUGAUAUUUUGGGAAGUUUUAAGUUUCAACUGAUUGUGAAAUUACAGUAAAUCAAACAAUAGAAGUGGAUAUUUAUGAUCGAAAAUUACUUCACCAUUUUUCACUUUUGGUGAAACAAACACACGCUAUCAUAUCCAAAAGUCGUAAAAUUAACUUCCUAGAUGCUUGAAAUAUUAUAAAUAAAGUCUAAUCGAAUCGAUCACUGAUUCAGAAAUUCUAUCAUUAAAAACAAAUUGUGAACACAAAGGCCUUUGUACUUUUAAUUGUCAAUCUUUUUCUUUGGUUUGCGAGAAUCCACGGUCU